CAUUAAGUGUGUGUCAUAUGUGCAAUUUCACUUCCUGCCGUAGCCAGCAGCCAUGACAGGAGUUUGGAUUUAUAGCUGUAAUUAUGUUUAUUUUUUUCGUUUAAGUACUAUAUCUGUUAGAAUGGAAAUUUUAAACUAUUGGAUUACAAGAAACAAAACAAAAUUUUCAGAUUCUCUCGGCAGAAGAUUCUAUCAGAUUAACCUCGGAAUAAUCCAUCUUUUUAUUCUAUCGUUGGAGACAAGAAAAAAAUCAACAUCAGGGAAAUUUCGCAGUCGGCUUCCGGAUUCUCCAAGAGUGCUGUCCUACCUCGCGUCCGGCAAAAAAUGCUGUGUUAAGAGCGCUCCAAACAAAUGCGACGCGACUAUCCCGUUGGUAUGGACGCGUAAAAGAAACCUCACAGGCAGCGAUCUAGUGAUAGGGUCGCGGCAAUAGUCGCCCAGCAACAGCGAACUUCGCUGCGUGUGUUUAGGGGGAGCCUUCUAUCAUUACUUAUUUCAUGCGAUGGCGAUGGAUUACCUAACAAAUCGAAUAUGAUAAUAAAAAUAUG